rnacentral:rRNA from 1 species
ACCUACGGGGCGCAGCAGUGAGGAAUAUUGGUCAAUGGGCGCGAGCCUGAACCAGCCAAGUCGCGUGAGGGAGGACGGCCCUACGGGUUGUAAACCUCUUUUGCCGGGGAGCAACGGGCGUCACGUGUGGCGCCACUGAGAGUACCCGGAGAAAAAGCAUCGGCUAACUCCGUGCCAGCAGCCGCGGUAAUACGUAGGGGGCAAGCGUUAUCCGGAUUUACUGGGUGUAAAGGGAGCGUAGACGGCGCGGCAAGUCUGAAGUGAAAGGCAGGGGCUUAACCCCUGAACUGCUUUGGAAACUGCCA